rnacentral:rRNA from 1 species
AUUGAACGCUGGCGGCAGGCUUAACACAUGCAAGUCGAGCGGAGAGAGGUAGCUUGCUACUGAUCUUAGCGGCGGACGGGUGAGUAAUGCUUAGGAAUCUGCCUAUUAGUGGGGGACAACAUUUCGAAAGGAAUGCUAAUACCGCAUACGUCCUACGGGAGAAAGCAGGGGAUCUUCGGACCUUGCGCUAAUAGAUGAGCCUAAGUCGGAUUAGCUAGUUGGUGGGGUAAAGGCCUACCAAGGCGACGAUCUGUAGCGGGUCUGAGAGGAUGAUCCGCCACACUGGGACUGAGACACGGCCCAGACUCCUACGAGAGGCAGCAGUGGGGAAUAUUGGACAAUGGGCGCAAGCCUGAUCCAGCCAUGCCGCGUGUGUGAAGAAGGCCUUAUGGUUGUAAAGCACUUUAAGCGGGGAGGAGGCUACUUUAGUUAAUACCUAGAGAUAGUGGACGUUACUCGCAGAAUAAGCACCGGCUAACUCUGUGCCAGCAGCCGCGGUAAUAC